UACGGAGGGUGCAAGCGUUGUUCGGAAUCACUGGGCGUAAAGCGUGUAUAGGCGGAUCUGCAAGUCAGGUGUGAAAGCCCUCGGCUCAACCGAGGAGGGUCGCUUGAUACUGCAGACCUUGAGCAUCAGUGAGGUGGGCGGAAUUCCCAGUGUAGAGGUGAAAUUCGUAGAGAUUGGGAGGAACGCCGGAGGCGAAAGCGGCUCACUAACUGAUUGCUGACGCUCACACACGAAAGCGUGGGGAGCAAACAGG
rnacentral:misc_RNA from 1 species